CGUGUACAAUUUUGAUUUAGGUAAUUGGUAUAUAAAGUACCUAAGGCUACCAUUAGGUGGUAAUUCUAAGAAUUUAUAGUAUUGUAAUCCUCUUAUUCACAAGGUGGUUAUCAAACUUUAAAAUGGUUAAAGAUGCCCUUCUCAAGGUCAUACCUAGGCAGCUUUAUUUAAUACUCCCCACAUAUUAUCUAUCUAUAUUCAGGAUGCCAGUGGAGCUA